CAGAGCAGAGACACACCUGGACUUAAAUCACCUCCUGUAAUCAGGAGCUGAUCCAGAACAGGUGGAGGAGAGAGAGGAGGAGGUGAUCAGCAGCAACAGUAAUACAGAGGAAGCUUCCUGUCAUCACGACCUCAUCAGCUGCAUGUGGGCGGGGCUUACAGUUACCAGCAGCUUGGACUCGUUUCAAAUGUUAAAAACAACCAAAAGAACAUGGGACGGCUCCAAACUGAUGGAGGUGUUAUUGACACCUUUGUUAAGAUGACUUCUUCCCUGCAGCUGCUGCAACUCGACUGAAGUCCGUUUGUGACGCAGCAGUGCCCAGUCAGACAGCUCCGUGACGUCUCAGCUGUUCUCUGAGUGCACGGUCAUUUACAAUCAUUUGAGUAUUUAAAGGGUUUUUUCAGUCUCAAUAAACUCUGACACUUCAGGAUGGAGCUCAGCUGUCCUAUGAUCCCAGAGCGUCGUUACCUGACGAGCAGUAACCUCGUCUCUGUGUGAGGAACGUGACAUCCUGCCUCGUUACUGUGGAGGACUGUUGUGUUGGUGACUGAGGUUCAGUCCCACCGCAGCUUUGUUUCAUGUCUUUACACCAUCAGACUCAAUGAACUCAUUGUUUUCAGGUGUUUGAAAGAAUAGUUCCACGUUUCAGCUUGUUCAGAUUUAAAUAAAACAACUGUUUGGUUUAGAGAAGAUCUUCUGUUUUCACAUGCAAACAAAAAUAAAAAAAACAGGAGAAACCUGAACCUGCACCAGACGACGCUGAGUAAAUAACGUCUUUUAAACCAGUAACAGUGAAACCGCAGCACCGCGUCAGACUGAAGGAUGAAGUUGGUGUGAGGGCCGACCACAGGAGCACAGAAACUUCAGGAUCUUUAGUCGAGGAAUGUUUACAGACGAUCUGAGCUGCAGAGGAGGAACAGAAACGUCCUGAUGAAACCCACUGAACAGCUGACAGACACAUAAUGAAACGAGUUUAAUAAACUUUCACACGUCA